rnacentral:rRNA from 1 species
GACAGAGGGUGCAAACGUUGUUCGGAAUUACUGGGCGUAAAGCGAGUGUAGGCGGUUCGAUAAGUCGGAUGUGAAAGCCCCGGGCUCAACCCGGGAAGUGCACUCGAUACUGUCGAGCUAGAGUAUCGGAGAGGUUGGUGGAAUUCUCGGUGUAGAGGUGAAAUUCGUAGAUAUCGGGAGGAACACCAGUGGCGAAGGCGGCGAUCUGGGUUGAUACUGACGCUGAGGUGCGAAAGCGUGGGGAGCAAACAGG